rnacentral:rRNA from 1 species
GACGAACGCUGGCGGCGUGCUUAACACAUGCAAGUCGAACGGAAAGGCCCUGCUUUUGUGGGGUGCUCGAGUGGCGAACGGGUGAGUCACACGUGAGUAACCUUCCCUUGACUUUUGGCUAACUUCAAGAAACUGGGACUCCUACCGGAUAGGCGCUCCUCCUGCAUGGUGUGGGUUAGAAAGUUUCGGUGGUUGGGGAUGGACUGGCGGUUUAUCAGCUGGUUGGUGGGGUGGUGGUUUACAAAGGCUUUGACGGGUGGCCGGCCUGGGGGGGGGACCGCCACAAUUGGGCUGGGGAAACGGCCAAGAUCCCAAGGGGGGGCAGAAGGGGGGAAUAUUGCACAAGGGGGGGAGGCCGGAGGCAGCAACGCCGCGGGCGGGAGGACGGCCUUCGGGUUGUAAACCGCUUUCGCAGGUGACGAAGCGUGAGUGACGGUAAUGGGUAAAGAAGCACCGGCUAACUACGUG